rnacentral:tRNA from 1 species
GUGGGUAUAGCUCAGAUGGUAGAGCAAAUGCUUAGCAUGCACGAGGUCCUGGGUUCAACCCCCAGUACCUCUU